AUGGCUCAGGAUGAACGCUGGCGGCGUGCUUAACACAUGCAAGUCGAACGGAGUUUUAACGGAAGUUUCGGAUGGAAGUUUAAGAACUUAGUGGCGGACGGGUGAGUAACGCGUGGGUAACCUGCCUCAUACAGGGGGAUAACAGUUAGAAAUGACUGCUAAGACCGCAUAAUAUAGCGAAACCGCAUGAUUUUGCUAUCAAAUAUUUAUAGGUAUGAGAUGGGCCCGCGUCUGAUUAGCUAGUUGGUGGGGUAAAAGCCUACCAAGGCGACGAUCAGUAGCCGGCUUGAGAGAGUGACCGGCCACAUUGGGACUGAGACACGGCCCAAACUCCUACGGGAGGCAGCAGUGGGGAAUAUUGGACAAUGGGGGAAACCCUGAUCCAGCGAACCGCCGCGUGAGUGAAGAAGUAUUUCGGUAUGUAAAGCUCUAUCAGCAGGGAAGAUAAUGACAGUACCUGACUAAGAAGCCCCGGCUAACUACGUGCCAGCAGCCGC
rnacentral:rRNA from 1 species